rnacentral:rRNA from 1 species
GAUGAACGCUGGCGGCGUGCCUAAUACAUGCAAGUCGAGCGAACAGACGAGGAGCUUGCUCCUCUGACGUUAGCGGCGGACGGGUGAGUAACACGUGGAUAACCUACCUAUAAGACUGGGAUAACUUCGGGAAACCGGAGCUAAUACCGGAUAAUAUAUUGAACCGCAUGGUUCAAUAGUGAAAGACGGUUUUGCUGUCACUUAUAGAUGGAUCCGCGCCGCAUUAGCUAGUUGGUAAGGUAACGGCUUACCAAGGCGACGAUGCGUAGCCGACCUGAGAGCGUGAGCGGCCAGACGGGAACUGAGGGAAGGGUCAGACUCCUGCGGGAGGCAGCAGUAGGGAAUCUUGCGGAAUGGGCGAAAGCUUGAAGGAGAAAAGAAGCGUGAGUGAUGAAGGACUUCGGAUCGUAAAACUUUGUUAUUAGGGAAGAACAAAUGUGUAAGUAACUAUGCACAUCUUGACGGUACCUAAUCAGAAAACCACGGCUAACUACGUG